AUGUCAGAUAGACUUACGAUUUAAUAUUUAUCCCCAAACGCGAAAUUGGCCAUGUUAAUUACGGCCUACUCGUUGCCGGACAAAGAGGGACAGCCGGAGUCUACUCGCACAGGGCAUGUGAGGAAAAUAGGGGAGGCCAAGAUGUUUCACAUACACCCCCCUAUGAAACGAACAUGUGGACUGUUCGAGAUCGAACUACUUCUGCUUCCAAGGCGGGCAUGAUGAUCUGCUUCGGAUCCCAGGAGAAAACAGCUCCGUCGCCCUUGCUAUCUGGCUUUUUGGGCGCCGGGCUGUCAAGGAAGAAGUCGUUGCAGGCCACGGUCAGUGCGCCCAUGAGGAUGAUGAAUUCGGUGAAGUCCACCUCGCCAUCAUUAUUGGCAUCCAGGUUCUUUCACCAUUGGCUUUGGCUGAGAUGUAGGUACGCCAGAUAGCAGGUGUUUGCAAAGGUGUUGAAACAUUCUAAAAUUCACACGUAGGCAUAUGUCUCUAAACAAAUUGUGGGACUAUUGGACUUUUAAAGAAUACUUAUGAAAGGUCUUGAUCAGCAUCUGCAUCGCGCUUUCCAAGUUGGAGCUGGGCUCUUUGGACAUGCUGUGAGGUGAUUCAAAAAAGGUCAAAGGUUAGACGCAACGAGAUGGCGCGCCCCUCGCUAGACCCAGCUGCAUGUACGGUCACAUGACUAGCGUGGGCGGAGCUUUAGCUCAAUUAAUUCUGGCACAAACAUAGGAUUGGGUUCAGCAAACUACUGUGCAUGUAUAAAAACAGACAGAGUCAUUGAUGAUUGCAGUGAAAGAAGAGGAAGACUUUGGAGAUGAAGGCUCUACUACCUGCUUGGGCGCUAAACGGU